rnacentral:rRNA from 1 species
AUUGAACGCUGGCGGAAUGCUUUACACAUGCAAGUCGAACGGUAGAGGGGGCAACCCCUCGAGAGUGGCGAACGGGGGAGUAAUAUAUCGGAGCGUGCCCAGUCGUGGGGGAUAACGUAGCGAAAGUUACGCUAAUACAGCAUACGAUCUAAGGAUGAAAGCGGGGGAUCGACAGAACUCGCGCGAUUGGAGCGGCCGAUAUCAGAUUAGGUAGUCGGUGGGGUAAAGGAUCACCAAGCCAACGAUCUGUAGCUGGUCUGAGAGGACGACCAGCCACACUGGAACUGAGACACAGUCCAGACUCCUACGGGAGGCAGCAGUGGGGAAUUUUGGACAAUGGACGCAAGUCUGAUCCAGCCAUUCCGCGUGCAGGAUGAAGGCCCUCGGGUUGUAAACUGCCUUUGUACGGAACGAAAAGGUCUCUCUUAAUACGGGGGACUCAUGACGGUACCGUAAGAAUAAGCACCGGCUAACUACGUGCCAGCCGCCGCGGUAAAAC